UACGAAGGGUGCAAACGUUGCUCGGAAUCAUUGGGCGUAAAGCGCACGUAGGCGGCUUGCCAAGUCGGACGUGAAAUCCCUCAGCUCAACUGAGGACGUGCAUCCGAAACUGGCGAGCUUGAGUACUGAAGAGGAUCGCGGAAUUCCCGGUGUAGAGGUGAAAUGCGCAGAUAUCGGGAAGAACACCCGUGGCGAAGGCGGCUCUCUGGGACGGUACUGACGCUGAGACGCGAAAGCGUGGGGAGCGAACAGG
rnacentral:rRNA from 1 species